GCCAAUAACAGAUUUAAUUUCGGCUUUAGGUUGAGUUUCUGAUACAUUUUCUCUGCAUUCUGUCAUAAACAGAAUUAGAACUCGAUAGAGAGAUCGAUAGAGAGGACUCACAUCAGUGUCUCCUGGACUGCAGUCUCAGAUGCUUUACCCUACAGGAGAGAGAGAAGACUGAUGAUUGAAUACCUAAGGGAACUAGGCAACGGACACUAAAGAGAGUCAGUACACUCAGUGGUCAGUUUAUUAGUUACUACACCCUGUUUAUAGUAAUCUUUGGGAGUACCUACUAAUCUGACUACAUUUUAGUCUACAUUAUAGUAGUAGUAGUAGAGGAGACCCCGGGGAAGACCUAGGACACGCUGGAGGGACUAUGUCUCCCGGCUGGCCUGGGAACGCCUCGGUGUCCCCCCGGAAGAGCUGGAGGAAGUGUCUGGGGAGAGGGAAGUCUGGGAAUCUCUGCUUAGACUGCUGCCCCAGCGACCCGGCCCCGGAUAAGCGGAAGAUGAUGGAUAUAGUAGUAGUAGUUCUGUUUUAGCAAUAAGGCACAAGGAGAAAAGGUGCUUAUGCAUGACACAACGCAGAGAGCCUGGCUACAGCCCCGACGUAAGAGAGCCUGGCUACAGCCCCGACGUAAGAGUGCCUGGCUACAGCCCCGAUGUAAGAGUGCCUGGCUACAGCCCCGAUGUAAGAGUGCCUGGAUACAGCCCCAACGCAGAAGUGCCUGGCUACAGCCCCGUCUCAGCUUUCUACCUAUCACAAUUGAGGUUUGGAACCACCUGGUUGAAAAUGUAACAUACAUGCUUUCUACAUUAUGGUACGUACCCAGGACUUGAAUGGCUUGGCUGAGUAGCCAUUAACCAAUAGAGAGAGACAGAUCCAAACUGAAAUUCUGAAAGGAAGAGAAAACAUGUCAUCAUUAUAAAUUAUAAUUGGUUCUCAAUCGGCUUAUUUGAUUAAAUAAGGGUGAAAUAAAUAAAUACAAAUGAAUCAUGAAAAUAUAAACACUGCUUAGGUACUACUUGGUCAGGUCAGAAUGAAUCACAGCUGAUUAACUGAGAAUAACUCAAAAUAUCUCAAUCACUGGUAUGUAACUCACUGUUUUACUAGAUUUAUACUCUCACUAAUUCAUUAUAAAUGGUAAUGGUUUUCCCCUGACAAGAAUAGAAGUAGGUUCUUACCUGAACAUGAUUUCUCUGCGAAGUGCCCUUGUGUUUCCCAGCUGAGAUAACACAGAUUACAUGCACACACCUGUCCUGACACACAACUGAACAAAGGUUCUACAAUAAACUGAUUGCAACCUUAGAACUCUCCCAGUGAUUCAGGAAGCUUGUCCGUCAUCUCUGUGAUGUUUGUCUGGGAUAGCUGUGUAGUUGGUUGAGGUGUUUUUUGUGUAUCAAGCACUUGUUGUUAUGGGGUAAAUGUGGAGUCAUCAGUGACAUGUUAGUCUGACAUUUUAAGUGUGACGCAUUGUUGCUGAGGUUGAAUGUGGUUGUAUGUGGCUCAGUCGGUAAAGUUAUGGUCCUUGCAACAUUUGGCAUGUGGAUUUGAUGUGGGACCAGGAAGAAAUGUAUGAACGUGUAUGUUCAUGCUACUGUAAGUCACUCUGGAUAAUAGCAUCCGCUAAAUGACAGAAAUGUAAUAUACACAAGGAUAAAUAACCAUGUUUUAUGGCUAUCCUUUCUGUCUGACACAUAGGGCAAGCCAGUCCAGAUACUGUGACAGUGUAUAAAGACAUAAUAGGGUCAAUUAUUAACUUAUCUAAUGUUACAACUACCUAACCUUCUAAGGCUAAUUGUUUCUGCUUUUAACAAUGUGUAUAUCUGCUUCCAACAGCUGCCACAUCCUUCAUUCUGUUGGGGAAAUUCUGUAAAAACAGUAUCAUAGCAAUAAAUACUAUAAAUCCCAAUUAAAGCAGUAGUUUUACAACACAAUGUUAGGCCAAAGAAAAUUGGUUUGGUUUUCUUUAAACAGCAUUUUGGUCUAGGCAGAUAGUAAAAGUGUAAAUAGACCAAAUCAGGUGGACAUUAGCACAAGACCAGAAUGAAGGAUUCAAGCAGAUUUUAACAAGACUAGUGUCUCAACCCUGUUGGUCUGCAUUUCUGCAUUACUUUUUGCUCAGUCCCAAUCCUGUCUGAGAACUAUACUGCCCCCUACAUGACAUUCUGGGAAGUGACAGUCAGUGACAGUAGGCUUGAAUCAGACAGCCAAUGUCAUUUUUAUCUGGUUUAUGUUUAAAUGUUAGUUUUUUCUGGUAUAAUGCAGUUGUUUUCCAUAUGUUAGAUUAGAUUAUGCCAUCUAGAGGCUUCUGAGAGUAGAGGUUAACAUCCCUCCAACAUCUUCACUCUCUCCAUACAUCCAUUCUUAGACUCUCCAUCAUUUUAGUACAACGCAUGACCUCUCUAAUAGGUCACACUCAGGUUUAUGGGUUUACAGACAUUUGGUCAGUAGCAACACAGCUAACACCUUGACUUCAGCCACUUAUGCAAUUACUGUUCAUGUUCUCUAAACAUUGGUUCCACCAGGGACAUUGACUAAGAAUGGAUUCUCUUUCAUGGUAACAAACUGGGUAAGAGAUGCCGUGGUGUAAAGAAGGGACCAUUGAACCUCCAUUCCUACUUGUUCACCACAGAGAGGUAUCCCUGUCACUGUUCUGGGGCACCAGGGGUCUCUUACCCGCCUGGGG
ensembl:lncRNA